CAAGUCAUCAUGGCCUUUACGUCCGGGGCUACACACGUGCUACAAUGUUUGGUACAGAGGGCUGCAAGCUGGUAACAGUAAGCUAAUCUCCAAAAGCCAAUCACAGUUCGGAUUGAGGUCUGCAACUCGACCUCAUGAAGUUGGAUUCGCUAGUAAUCGCAUAUCAGCAAUGAUGCGGUGAAUACGUUCCCGGGCCUUGUACACACCGCCCGUCAAGCCAUGAAAGCUGGGGGAACCUGAAGUCUGU
rnacentral:rRNA from 1 species